rnacentral:rRNA from 1 species
AGCGAACGCUGGCGGCAGGCCUAACACAUGCAAGUCGAACGGUCCUUCGGGACAGUGGCAGACGGGUGAGUAACACGUGGGAACGUGCCUUUAGGUUCGGGACAACCCAGGGAAACUUGGGCUAAUACCGGAUGUGCCCUUCGGGGAAAGGAUUUAUCGCCUUAGAGCGGCCCGCGUCUGAUUAGCUUGUUGGUGAGGUAA